GCCAGGCAUGGUGGCUAAUGCCUGUAAUCCCAGCUACUCAGGAGGCUGAGAUGGGAGGAUCACUUGAGCUCAGGAGUUUGAGGCCAACCUGGGCAACAAAGUGAGAUCUCAUCUCCA
ensembl:misc_RNA Metazoa_SRP Metazoan signal recognition particle RNA